rnacentral:rRNA from 1 species
UACGUAGGGGGCAAGCGUUGUCCGGAUUUACUGGGCGUAAAGAGCGUGUAGGCGGCCAAACAGGUCCGUUGUGAAAACUGGAGGCUCAACCUCCAGACGUCGACGGAAACCGUGUGGCUAGAGUCCGGAAGAGGAGAGUGGAAUUCAUGGUGUAGCGGUGAAAUGCGCAGAUAUCAGGAAGAACACCAAUGGCGAAGGCAGCUCUCUGGGACGGUACUGACGCUGAGACGCGAAAGCGUGGGGAGCGAACAGG